CCUACGGGAGGCAGCAGUGAGGAAUAUUGGUCAAUGGCCGGAAGGCUGAACCAGCCAAGCCGCGUGAAGGACGAAGGUGCCAAGCAUUGUAAACUUCUUUUGUCAAGGGACAAAAUCAGGCUCGAGAGCCUGACCGAGGGUCCUUGAAGAAAAAGCAUCGGCUAACUCCGUUCCAGCAGCCGCGUUCAUACUGGGGAUGCGAGCGUUAUCCGGAUUUAUUGGGUUUAAAUGGUUCGUAGGCGUACUGUUAAGUCAGCGGUAAAAGCCCGGGGCUCAACCACGGCGAGCCGUUGAAACUGGCUGUCUUGAGAUGUAGAGAGGUAUGCGGAACGCGCAGUGUAGCGGUGAAAUGCUUAGAUAUUGCGCAGAACUCCGAUUGCGAAGGCAGAAUACCGGCGGCGAUCUGACGCUGAGGCACGAAAGCGUGGGUAUCGAACAGGAUUAGAUACCCGAGUAGUC
rnacentral:rRNA from 1 species